rnacentral:rRNA from 1 species
UACGUAGGGUGCGAGCGUUGUCCGGAAUUACUGGGCGUAAAGCGCGUGUAGGCGGCCCGAUAAGUCCGCUGUGAAAGUCCAGGCUCAACCCUGGAAUGCCGGUGGAUACUGUCGGGCUCGAGUCCGGAAGAGGCGAGUGGAAUUCCUGGUGUAGCGGUGAAAUGCGCAGAUAUCAGGAGGAACACCGGUGGCGAAGGCGGGUCUCUGGGCCGUAACUGACGCUGAGGAGCGAAAGCAUGGGGAGCGAACAGG